UGCGUAGGCGGGUUUCUAAGUCAGAGGUGAAAGCCUGGAGCUCAACUCCAGAACUGCCUUUGAUACUGGAAGUCUUGAGUUCGGGAGAGGUGAGUGGAACUGCGAGUGUAGAGGUGAAAUUCGUAGAUAUUCGCAAGAACACCAGUGGCGAAGGCGGCUCACUGGGCCAUUACUGACGCUGAGGCACGAAAGCGUGGGUAGCGAACA
rnacentral:rRNA from 1 species